UACGUAGGGUGCGAGCGUUAAUCGGAAUUACUGGGCGUAAAGCGUGCGUAGGCGGUUUCGCAAGUCCGCUGUGAAAGCCCCGGGCUCAACCUGGGAAUGGCAGUGGAAACUAGGAGACUUGAAUCUGGCAGAGGGGGGUGGAAUGCCGCGUGUAGCAGUGAAAUGCGUAGAGAUGUGGCGGAACACCGAUGGCGAAGGCAGCCCCCUGGGCUGAGAUUGACGCUCAGGCACGAAAGCGUGGGGAGCAAACAGG
rnacentral:rRNA from 1 species